GAGGGUAUAGUUCAGUGGUAGAACACAUGUCUAGCAUGCACAAGGUCCUGGGUUCAAUCUCCAGUACCAACA
rnacentral:tRNA from 1 species